rnacentral:rRNA from 1 species
UACGGAGGGUGCGAGCGUUGUCCGGAAUCACUGGGCGUAAAGGGCGCGUAGGCGGCAUGCCAAGCGUGUGGUGAAAGCCCGGGGCUCAACCCCGGGUCGGCCGUGCGGACUGGCGUGCUCGAGCACUGUAGGGGCGGGUGGAAUUCCGGGUGGUAGCGGUGGAAUGCGUAGAGAUCCGGAAGAACGACCGGUGGCGAAGGCGGCCCGACUGG